AGAUCUUUUAAAUGCAAGUCCAGAGAGGCUUAAAAGGGUGUAAGGCAAACAAAGGGUACAUGGAUACCUGAAAUUUGCGCUACCUUUCUACACCCUGAUGAUAAGCAUCAGGGUGUUUUUUUA
rfam:Bacillus sp. SA1-12 scf7180000003354, whole genome shotgun sequence.